AUGGCUCCUUCGAUCAUCGGCAACGAUGCGAUCCAGGGUGAGGUUUUCCUCCCCGGACAGAUCUUUGUAUUCAACGGCUUCGUACUGCGGGCCAACUCGCUUGGCCAUCUAGAGCAGAUCGAUAGCUACGCCCGUGGCCAUCAGGUCAGGUUUGGAAACUUGAACUACACUGCCGACAUCCGCGGAGACUUGAUCUUCGACGGAUUCGAGCCCAUGUCAGGUGCGCCACACAAUCACGAUGAGCAUGACUUAGCUCUGUCGUCGGACAGUGUUCGGGAUAUCACACCUGCAACUACUCCGGCCCUCAAUCCGGAACAAAUCGCGCCAUCUGAGGAUGGGUGGAUGGACUCCGCCACGGAGGCCGCACAAUCAGUGGCGAUAGAGCCGAAUACUGACUUCACCUCCUACGAGACCCGUGUUGCCGAACCGUUGGGUUCGUCCCCGGCCAUGGGCUCUGAGCCGCCCGUGUCCGCGCCUAUCGAAUCCGAUUGGGCACCGAUCAUGGAGUUUACCUCCGCGGAUAUCUUUCAGCACUCGCCCUUUGGCGAUGUGCUAAACUCGUUAAGAUCUCUCUCCCUGUCAGGAGACCCUUGGCCGAACUAUGUCCGGCCAGAAUGGGAUGCGGACGACAAAGAAAUUCGCUACCCACCCACCACCCACUUAGUAGCCACUGUCGACGAUUUAACCGACAUGCUCGACUUCGGCUCCGAAGACAUCGACGGUAUGGACGAUGAUGCAGGAGACGAACAAGAACCACCGCCCACAGGGCGCUGGUCGGCCACCUCAUCGUAUGACAUAUACAUGGUGGACACCCCCAAAGAGGGGGAUGGAGAUAAGACAACGGAGGAUAAUCCCUCCAAGAAGCAAUCCAAGCACCGACGUCAGCGGCGCCGCUCUAAGUCCCGCCAUAGCAAAAGCAGCGAUACCGGCACAAGAGACAAUAACGCUCUGGAUAAUGCCGAAGAUGACGAUAAUCCCCUCCAGCCAGACCUAGAGCGGGAGGAUGAACAAGCUAGCCCUCCGGAACAGGCAGCAGACGGAGAAUCGGAGGAUGACAAUUACAUGCCUCUCUCCGAAGACGAGGUGAGCCUCGGCGACGAAGAAUUUAUCUUGCCUGAGGAUCCCGUCGAACAGGAGCGCUUCAAGCGCCGGCUUAUAGCAACAGCAAAUAGCCUGAAGAAAAAACAACAACAACUUCGAGCUGAUCAAGAUCUUCUAGCGGAUAGAUGGACUGAAGUCCUGGCGGCCAAGGAAUACGAACUCGAGCACCCAACCAAGAGUUACCCAAAGCGCAGGUUGCUACCCCAACUCGAGGAGGAAGCAUUGAAACCUACAUCUCCAGCGUAUGAUGCGGCUGAUCGGCCACCUCGUGGCCGAGAUCGAGAGGCAUAUCAGCCCAAAGUCCAACCUGCACCCCGUCGCCACUCAAACAAAAAUACCAAGGCCCGGGGCAACACGCGGGACCUGCGAGACGCAUUGGAAAACAAAGCAAAACAUGCACGAUCGAUCUAUGGAUCACGGGGGCGCGCCCCAACCCGAGACGAUGACCGUCACGUCGGAUAUACAAAAAGCAAAUCUGGCCGGGCCGAAUACAACAAACAAGACUCGUAUGAACUGCGUCGAGAUAUAGCCCGGCACAGAGGCGCCGCACACCCCCUAUGCUUCACUGAUGAAGUAAUGGAUCACAAAUUCCCAGAGGGUUUUAAACCCGUAAACAUUGAAUCAUAUGACGGUACAACAGAUCCCGCGGUAUGGAUCGAGGAUUUCCUCCUCCACAUCCACAUGGCUCGCGGUGAUGAUCUACAUGCCAUCAAGUACCUCCCACUAAAACUCAAAGGACCAGCUCAGCAUUGGUUGAAUAGCUUGCCAGCAGACUCCAUUGGCAGUUGGGAGGAUUUGGAAGAUGCAUUCCUUGACAACUUCCAGGGCACUUAUGUGCGACCACCGGAUGCUGAUGACUUGAGCCAUAUAGUUCAGCAGCCAGGAGAAUCGGCCAGGAAAUUCUGGACCAGGUUCCUAACUAAGAAAAACCAAAUUAUCGACUGUCCGGAUACAGAGGCCUUAGCAGCAUUUAAGCAUAACAUCCGUGACGAGUGGCUCGCCCGGCACCUUGGCCAGGAGAAGCCGAAGGCUAUGGCAGCCCUCACGACACUCAUGACCCGCUUUUGCGCAGGCGAGGAUAGUUGGCUGGCUCGCUGCAAUAACACAUCAAGAAGUCAUGGCAAUUCAGAUGCCAAAGAUAGUAAUGGCAGACCACGUCGCAACAGACACAAGCGCCCCAACAACGGUGACAACGCCGAAGACACGGCAGUUAAUGCCGGAUUCAUUGGUUCUAAAUCCGAUCAGCGGAAGAAGCCGUUCAAAAGAAGCAAUCCGGGCCCGUCCAGUUUGGACCGCAUACUCGAUCGCUCGUGUCAAAUUCACGGCACCCCCGAUAAGCCAGCCAAUCACACCAACACAGAAUGCUGGGUGUUCAAGCAGGCCGGCAAGUUGAAUACCGAAAACAAGGAAAAGGGGCUGCAUAGCGACGAUGAGGAUGAGCCCCGGCCGCCGAACACAGGAAGACAGAAGAAAUUUCCUCCCUAA
rnacentral:rRNA from 1 species